rnacentral:rRNA from 1 species
AGGACGAACGCUGGCGGCGUGCUUAACACAUGCAAGUCAAGGGGGUCCCGCAAGGGAUAACCAGCGAACGGGUGCGUAACACGUGAGCGACCUGCCGAUCUGCGGGGGAUAGCCGGCCCAACGGCCGGGUAAUACCGCAUACGCUUGGUUUGGGGCAUCCCAGGCCAAGGAACUUCCGGGGCGGAUCGAGGGGCUCGCGGCCUAUCAGCUAGUUGGCGAGGUAACGGCUCACCAAGGCGACGACGGGUAGC